GAGAGAGGUAUUACACAAUAAGAACUGCUAAUUCCUAUAUCUGAGAUUAGCCC
rnacentral:tRNA from 1 species